AUACGGAGGGUGCGAGCGUUAAUCGGAAUUACUGGGCGUAAAGCGUACGUAGGCGGUUGGUUAAGUUAGAUGUGAAAGCCCCGGGCUUAACCUGGGAACUGCAUUUAAGACUGGCGAACUAGAGUUGAGUAGAGGGGAGUGGAAUUUCAGGUGUAGCGGUGAAAUGCGUAGAGAUCUGAAGGAACACCAGUGGCGAAGGCGACUCCCUGGACUCGAACUGACGCUGAGGUACGAAAGCGUGGGUAGCGAACGGGAUUAGAUACCCUAGUAGUCC
rnacentral:rRNA from 1 species